UACGUAGGGCGCAAGCGUUGUCCGGAAUUAUUGGGCGUAAAGAGCUCGUAGGUGGUUUGUCGCGUCUGUCGUGAAAGCCCAUGGCUUAACUGUGGGUCUGCGGUGGAUACGGGCAGGCUGGAGGCAGGUAGGGGAGAACGGAAUUCCCGGUGUAGCGGUGAAAUGCGCAGAUAUCGUAAGGAAGACCAGUGGCGAAGGCGGGUCUCUGGACAGUUCCGUGACGCUGAGGCACGAAGGCCAGGGAGCAACGGGAUAGAAACCC
rnacentral:rRNA from 1 species